GGGGAUGACUGGUUUCGACGCUGUUUGUGUACUCGUGGGAAGCGGGUCGAGGAUGCGAGGUUGUCUCGUUAACGAUCCUCGCAAAAUAUAAGUGCCAACUUAAAGCGCACUGAUCUAAGUCUUGCUGCUUAAGCGCUUAGAUCUGUCGGUAUAGGGCUUGUCUUCGGCCCUGUAUCCGGCAUGGUUUUAGAGGACUUGCCGCGUGUUUGCCGCUUGCGUGAACACCGGGACUUUAUUGCAAGCUGGGCCUGUUGAUUUAGAUUCCGCUGCAAAGAAUCAGGGCUGAGUAUAACGGUUUUAGCGGAUACACCCGUAGAAGUCACGGGCUCCAUGCCGCGGACGGGGGUUCGAUUCCCCCCAUCUCCACUG
rnacentral:tmRNA from 16 species